UUUUUUAUAUUGGAGGGCAAGUCUGGUGCCAGCAGCCGCGGUAAUUCCAGCUCCAAUAGCGUAUAUUAAAGUUGUUGCGGUUAAAAAGCUCGUAGUUGGAUCUCAGCUCACGCUAAGUGGUCCACUUAAUGGUGGUUACUACUUAGCUGAGCAUUUUACAGAUUUGUCUCUUGAUGCUCUUCACCGAGUGUCAAGAGUGGUCUGUACGUUUACUUUGAAAAAAUUAGAGUGCUUAAAGCAGGCAACUCGCCCGAAUAAUCUUGCAUGGAAUAAUGGAAUAGGACCUUGGUUCUAUUUUGUUGGUCUCCGGAAUCUGAGGUAAUGAUUAAGAGGGACAGACGGGGGCAUUCGUAUUGCGCCGCUAGAGGUGAAAUUCUUGGACCGGCGCAAGACGAACUACAGCGAAAGCAUUUGCCAAGAAUGUUUUUUAAUCAAGAACGAAAGUAGAGGUUCGAAGGCGAUCAGAUACCGCCCUAGUUCUAACCAUAA
rnacentral:rRNA from 1 species